rnacentral:rRNA from 1 species
AUACGGAGGGUGCAAGCGUUAAUCGGAAUUACUGGGCGUAAAGCGCGCGUAGGCGGUUUGGUAAGUCGGAUGUGAAAGCCCCGGGCUCAACCUGGGAAUUGCAUACGAUACUGGCAAACUAGAGUAUGAGAGAGGGAGGUAGAAUUCCAUGUGUAGCGGUGAAAUGCGUAGAUAUGUGGAGGAAUACCAGUGGCGAAGGCGGCCUCCUGGCUCAAUACUGACGCUAAGGUGCGAAAGCGUGGGGAGCAAACAGGAUUAGAUACCCCGGUAGUCC